rnacentral:rRNA from 1 species
UGGGGAAUAUUGGACAAUGGGCGAAAGCCUGAUCCAGCCAUGCCGCGUGUGUGAAGAAGGUCUUCGGAUUGUAAAGCACUUUCAGUUGGGAGGAAGGGCAGUAAGCGAAUACCUUGCUGUUUUGACGUUACCGACAGAAUAAGCACCGGCUAACUCUGUGCCAGCAGCCGCGGUAAUACAGAGGGUGCAAGCGUUAAUCGGAAUUACUGGGCGUAAAGCGCGCGUAGGUGGUUCGUUAAGUUGAAUGUGAAAGCCCCGGGCUCAACCUGGGAACUGCAUCCAAAACUGGCGAGCUAGAGUAGGGCAGAGGGUGGUGGAAUUUCCUGUGUAGCGGAGAAAUGCGUAGAUAUAGGAAGGAACACCAGUGGCGAAGGCGACCACCUGGGCUAAUACUGACACUGAGGUGCGAAAGCGUGGGGAGCAAACAGG